UACGGGGGGGGCAAGCGUUUUUCGGAAUUACUUGGCGUAAAGGGCUCGUAGGUGGCCAACUAAGUCGGACGUGAAAUCCCUCAGCUUAACUGGGGAACUGCGUCCGAUACUGGAUGGCUCGAGUUUGGGAGAGGGAUGCGGAAUUCCAGGUGUAGCGGUGAAAUGCGUAGAUAUCUGGAGGAACACCGGUGGCGAAGGCGGCAUCCUGGACCAACACUGACACUGAGGAGCGAAAGCCAGGGGAGCAAACGGG
rnacentral:rRNA from 1 species